rnacentral:rRNA from 1 species
AGUGAACGCUGGCGGUAGGCCUAACACAUGCAAGUCGAACGGCAGCACAGUAAGAGCUUGCUCUUACGGGUGGCGAGUGGCGGACGGGUGAGGUACACAUCGGACUCUCCUUUUUCGUGGGGGAUAACGUAGGGACUCUUACGCUAAUACCGCAUACGACCUACGGGUGAAAGCAGGGGAUCUUCGGACCUUGCGCGAUUGAAUGAGCCGAUGUCGGAUUAGCUAGCUGGCGGGGUAAAGGCCCACCAAGGCGACGAUCCGUAGCUGGUCUGAGAGGAUGAUCAGCCACACUGGAACUGAGACACGGUCCAGACUCCUACGGGAGGCAGCAGUGGGGAAUAUUGGACAAAGGGCGCAAGCCUGAUCCAGCCAUACCGCGUGGGUGAAGAAGGCCUUCGGGUUGUAAAGCCCUUUUGUUGGGAAAGAAAAGCAGCAGGUUAAUACCCCGCUGUUCUGACGGUACCCAAAGAAUAAGCACCGGCUAACUUCGUG